UACGAAGGGGGCUAGCGUUGUUCGGAAUUACUGGGCGUAAAGGGCGCGUAGGCGGUACUUCAAGUCAGGCGUGAAAGCCCUGGGCUCAACCCAGGAAGUGCACACGAAACUGUCAGGCUUGAAUAUGGAAGAGGGUCGCGGAAUUCCCGGUGUAGAGGUGAAAUUCGUAGAUAUCGGGAGGAACACCAGUGGCGAAGGCGGCUCUCUGGGACGGUACUGACGCUGAGACGCGAAAGCGUGGGGAGCAAACAGG
rnacentral:rRNA from 1 species